rnacentral:rRNA from 5 species
AAAUUGAAGAGUUUGAUCAUGGCUCAGAUUGAACGCUGGCGGCAGGCCUAACACAUGCAAGUCGAACGGUAACAGGAAGCAGCUUGCUGCUUCGCUGACGAGUGGCGGACGGGUGAGUAAUGUCUGGGAAACUGCCUGAUGGAGGGGGAUAACUACUGGAAACGGUAGCUAAUACCGCAUAACGUCGCAAGACCAAAGAGGGGGACCUUCGGGCCUCUUGCCAUCGGAUGUGCCCAGAUGGGAUUAGCUUGUUGGUGGGGUAACGGCUCACC